rnacentral:rRNA from 1 species
GCGCACCAGGCGAGAAAACUUCACACUGUGCGAAAGCACGAUGAGGGAAUCCCAAGUGCUUGCACGUAAGUGUAAGCUGUUUCUCUGUUUAAAACGCAGAGAGAGUAAGGGCUGGGUAAGACGGGUGCCAGCCGCCGCGGUAAUACCUGCAGCUCAAGUGGUGACCGUUAUUAUUGGGGCCUAAAAACGGUCCGUAGCCGGUUUAAUAAAUGCCUGGGUAAAAUCGUGUAGCUUAACUAUACGAAUUCCGGGUAGACUGUUAAACUCG